rnacentral:rRNA from 1 species
GUUAAAAAGCUCGUAGUCGGAUUUCAGUGCUCGGUUAGCCGUCAUUCGUGUCGGUCUUGCCUGCACUUCUUUAACGGCGAGUCGCAUCGCCUUAAUUGGUGGUGUGUUCAUCGCUGUUUCUUUUACUUUGAGAAAAUUAGAGUGUUCAAAGCAGGUGUCACGCCUGAAUAUUACUCUUGGAAUAAUAACAUAUGACUUUGGCUCUUAUUUGUUGGUGACUAAGGACCGAAGUAAUGAUUGCCAGGGACGGUUGGGGCCAUUCGUACUGCAAAGCGAGAGGUGAAAUUCUCGGACCUUUGUAUGACGAACUACUGCGAAAGCAUUUGGCUAGGACGUUCCCGUUGAUCAAGAACGAAAGUUGGGGGAUCGAAGACGAUCAGAUACCGUCGUAGUCUCAACCAUAAACUAC